rnacentral:rRNA from 1 species
UACGUAGGGUGCAAGCGUUAAUCGGAAUUACUGGGCGUAAAGCGUGCGCAGGCGGUUUUGUAAGGCAGAUGUGAAAUCCCCGGGCUUAACCUGGGAACUGCGUCUGAAACUACAAGGCUAGAGUGUGGCAGAGGGGGGUGGAAUUCCACGUGUAGCAGUGAAAUGCGUAGAGAUGUGGAGGAACACCGAUGGCGAAGGCAGCCCCCUGGGUUAACACUGACGCUCAGGCACGAAAGCGUGGGGAGCAAACAGG